rnacentral:rRNA from 1 species
UACGUAGGGUGCGAGCGUUAAUCGGAAUUACUGGGCGUAAAGCGUGCGCAGGCGGUCCGCAAAGUCUGAUGUGAAAGCCCCGGGCUCAACCUGGGAAUUGCGAUGAAGACUGCAAGGCUUGAAUCUGGCAGAGGGGGGUAGAAUUCCACGUGUAGCAGUGAAAUGCGUAGAGAUGUGGAGGAACACCGAUGGCGAAGGCAGCCCCCUGGGUCAAGAUUGACGCUCAUGCACGAAAGCGUGGGGAGCAAACAGG